rnacentral:misc_RNA from 1 species
GGGGAUCGCGUCUUGUCUGUAGAUUGUGCUGGGUCUAGUUUGCAGUGUGGCUGUUGUAAGAAGACUUAUUCUGGCAAGGAAACACAUCUUGAAUUGACUGUGGCUAGUGGGUCCAGUAAAUAUGACGAUUCUAUGCCAUUGGCUACUGAACUUUUCAGGCUUCCACUGAUAUCAUUUCUCUAUGAGAGGGGUUGGCGUCAAAAUUUCAUAUGGGGUGGUUUCCCUGGCCCAGAGAAAGAGGUGAUGAUAGGACAGUUUCUUUAUUUGAAGUUACUUGGGCAAUUUUUUUUUCCCAGUCUUAGAGUUCUUUUAAUGAUUGUCUUCUACAACCUUCACCCUGCGCAAUUCUUUCUGGCAGUGAAAAGCAUGCUGUCUCAACCUUAUAAAUAUAAUAAUGUAUAUAUUUAUGUGAAUAUUCUCUAGAAAUUUGUUUAAGCAUCAUAAUACGCAAUGGAGUUAUCAUCAUUCAUCUCAAAUUCCAUUUUGUGGAUUGGCUAAAUGGCCUAACUGAGUGCACAGAAAUGCAAACAGACUCAUUUUGCUUACACAAUUAGCCUUUUAAAAUGCUAACAUAUUUAAGAUAUAUCUUGAUAAUAAUUGAUGCUGUUUGGUAAAUUGAAGUGAUAUUAAUUAGGUCUGCUAGUUUCUUUUUUUCCAUUAUUUUAUGUUAUUGCUGCUAAAGAUACAGGGAUUUGUAAUGCAGUUUGAAUUGAUGAAGGAUUACCUGCAGCCAGGUUUAGGUGGAAAUAUUAUUGAUGCUAGUUGUGGUAGUGGAUUAUUUUCCAGACUUUUUGCCAAAAGUGGUUUGUUUUCUCAUGUUGUUGCUCUGGACUACUCAGAAAACAUGCUACGGCAGUGCUAUGAAUUCAUCAUGCAGGAGGAAAACUUUCCCAAAGAGAACCUAAUAUUGGUCAGAGCAGAUAUCUCUAGACUUCCUUUUCUUUCUGGCUCUGUUGAUGCUGUCCAUGCUGGUGCUGCUAUACACUGUUGGCCUUCACCAUCAGCAGCUGUAAGCUUUACUUUUACUUGGGUAUUUUAAGAUAGUUGUUCUACUCGCUUGAGUUCAUUACUGGCACGUCAGUAGCUGUUGUUUUGAAAGGCGUAUAAGGUUCACACCUUAAGGAGAGCGAGGCAGGUAAGGAAAGCAAGAGGUUUACACCUCAAAAAGCAUCAGGCAUUUAUUAUGUUUGUGCUUCACAAAUUUGAUGUUCUAGAUCAUUAUUUUAUUUCCUUAAUUAUGAAAACUUGGAGUACCUAUUCCAUAGAUUCAUACUUCACCCUUCCGAUAUUGUUAUAUUUUUUCCCUUAAUUAUGAAAACUCAAAGUAUUUAUUCCAUAAAUUCUCUUAGCUUAGCCUUAUUUCAUGAAAACAGCUUUGUGAACUCCAUUGAAAGCUUUGAUAGACAAAUCUCAUUUGAGGUUUCUUGUUUUCUCUCAAUUGUUGGUAUUAUUUGCUUUAUGAGUUUAUGGUUUACAUUUUAAAAAUUUUGGUGUGAUGAAUAAUCUUGGGUAUACUUUAUAUAUUUGAUUUCUUUACAAUAUUUUCUCUUUCUUCCAACAUACUUUUAUUUUCCCUUUAUUUCCUUAGAGUUCACUUUGUCUAGUUGCCAUGCAAGCUUGGAAAGCUUGGUUCUUUGACUCGAUAUUCUCUUCAAAAGUUGAUAGAUAAUUGCAGCCAGCAAAUUCUUUCUAAAUCCUCUUCAUGUUGCACAUAUGCAUUUCUCCCCUGGAUUAAAUGGAGGCUUCCUCCUAGUUUUUUUGUGGAGUGUUUUUCUGUCAGUAUAUCAGAAACAUAAACCUAAUAGAAUUGAAAUUCAUUACACUCUCUGGUUCGCUUGCAAUAAUGGAUUUCAUAUGUUAAGGGAUAUCAUAAAGUACUCUGGAAAAAAGAGAAGAAAGGAUAUGACUCAGAAAACUGAUAAACCCUUAAACACAUGCAAGAUAUGAAUUCAGUUUCUAGAUUUUGAGAUGAAGGAUUUCUAACAGCAGCCUCCUGUAUGCAACUGUGCUUUCCAAGAUCCCAAGCCCUUGCUUAGCCAGUAUAAGAUCUCUUGAUUUGUUAUCUACUGUUUUAUAGGUAGCUGAAAUUAGUCGAGUUCUGAAACCUGAAGGCGUUUUCAUUGCUACGACUUUCAUACUUGAUGGGCCUUUCAGUUUUUUCCCACUCUUGGGGCCUCUGCGCCAGGUAUUUUUUUUCUUUUUUUCUUUUGGUUUUUUGUUUUUGUUUUGUUCGGAACUUGAAUGGCUGCACUUCUAAUAUUUCUAUUUAGCAUUCACGUUUGGGUAAAAAAAAAAGUUCUAGUAAAAUAAUUAGAGUUUCAGUUAAUGACAUUGAAACAGAUCAAACCUUCCAUCAGCAUCUCUUGUAUUGAGAUCAUCAUGGAAUUUGCUAAUUUUCUCGUGAUAGGACUUUUAUGUCCUAGCAUGGUAAAACCAAAAAAUAGGAGGAGAUGAUGAUGAAAAGAAAAAGAGAGCUACUAUGUGGCUGUUUUAAUUAGGACUUGGUUCAAUUUUUAAUGUUGCUAUUCAGAAGACUUCUUUUCAAUAUGUUCUUUCCCAAGGUUUUCAAGUGUUAUUUUUAUGUAACUUGAAUUUUGGAUAUUUCUUCAUGGUCUCGAAUUGUAAUCCGAUUUGAAAGCUUCGUGUUGCGAUCCAAUUGGGAUAAAAAAUGAGAUCAGUAGUGGGCUUCGGGCAUGGGUUAGAAUUGUGAGAUAUUCGAGAAACACACUGGGAUUGGAUUUGAGAGUUUCAAGUUAUUGUAUUUUGCUUUUUUCAUCAUAGUGGAACUUUUUCUCUUAUUUUGCCCAUAGACGUAGAUCUUACAGUCGAACCACGUAAAUUUUAAAUCUUGUGCUAUUAUUUUUCUUUUUUCUUAUACCAUGCGAUUGUAUGUAUGCUUAAAUUUGCGUGUCUGCUGUAACAUCAAGUUUAUUCAACAAGCUUUGCUUGAAAGAAUUUGAUCUAACCAUCAAGCAUUUACUGAUUGUAUGAGUAACAAUGAAUAAUUGUGUAUCAUUCUAGAAUAUGGCACUAGCGGGCAAUCAUAUCUUUUUACAUGAACGUGAACUGGAAGAUAUCUGCAGAGCCUGCGGGCUAGUUGGAUUUACAGCUAUAAGGAAUGGUCGAUUUGUGAUGUUUUCUGCUAGAAAACCCAGCUAAGCAUUCAAUUCCUUGGUGUUAUCUGCCCCAUCUCUCAAAUUGCAUCGGUCUGCAGAGCCAUAUGUACAUUUGAUAUCUGUUAUAGUUUGCAUCUCCUGUAAAAGUAGGUUAUAUUUAUUGUGUAUAGGGAAGGUGUGAGAAUGAAGUAUUCUUUUUCAAAUAUAUCAGUGUAAAAAAAUCUUUAACAUUUUAC